AACGAACGCUGGCGGCAUGCCUAACACAUGCAAGUCGAACGAGACCUUCGGGUCUAGUGGCGCACGGGUGCGUAACGCGUGGGAAUCUGCCCUUGGGUUCGGGAUAACAGUUGGAAACGACUGCUAAUACCGGAUGAUGUCUUCGGACCAAAGAUUUAUCGCCCAAGGAUGAGCCCGCGUAGGAUUAGCUUGUUGGUGAGGUAAGAGCUCACCAAGGCGACGAUCCUUAGCUGGUCUGAGAGGAUGAUCAGCCACACUGGGACUGAGACACGGCCCAGACUCCUACGGGAGGCAGCAGUGGGGAAUAUUGGACAAUGGGCGGAAGCCUGAUCCAGCAAUGCCGCGUGAGUGAUGAAGGCCUUAGGGUUGUAAAGCUCUUUUACCCGGGAUGAUAAUGACAGUACCGGGAGAAUAAGCCCCGGCUAACUCCGUGCCAGCCGCCGCAGUAACAC
rnacentral:rRNA from 1 species